rnacentral:rRNA from 1 species
GACUACUGGGGUAUCUAAGCCGGUUUGCUCCCCUGGCUUUCGAGCCUCAGCGUCAGUAACAGCCCAGAAAAGCGCCUUCGCCACUGGCCUUCUUACCGGUCUCUACGGAUUUCACCCCUACACCGGUAAUUCCCUCUUCCUCUGCUGUACUCAAGAUUGUCAGUUUCCAGCCCUCAUCCCUGGUUGAGCCAGGGUCUUUCACACCGGACUUGACCUCCCGCCUACGCUCCCUUUACGCCCAGUAAUUCCGGGUAACGCUUGCCCCCUACGUCUUACCGCGGCUGCUGGCACGUAGUUAGCCGGGGCUUAUUCCAUGGAUACCGUCAUCACAGCCCCAUUCCCUGAGCUGCUUAUUCGUCUCCACCAAAAGUCGUUUACAUCCCGAAGGACUCCUUCCGACACGCGGCGUCGCUGGAUCAGGCUUUCGCCCAUUGUCCAAUAUUCCCCACUGCAGCCCCCCGUAGG